AUAAAAAAUUUAUGUGUUUAUAGUUUUAAUAUAAAUUUAUUUUACAUAUAAAUUUUAGUAUAUAAUUUUAAUUAUUUUGAUAAUAAUUAAUUUAAUUUGUAGUAAUUAAUUUUAAAUAUUUAAGAAAUUAAGAUUUAGAAAUAUUAAAAUUAAUAACUAAUUUUGUGCCAGCAGUUGCGGUUAAACAAAAAUUAAAUUAAAAUAUUUCAGUUUAUAAUAAAUAAUAAUAAAAUUAAAAUAAAUAUUAAAUUAUUAGGUGAAAUUUUAAUUUAAUUAAAUUUUAUUUAAAAAUUAUGAUUUAAUAAAUUUUAAUUUAAACUAGGAUUAGAUACCCUAUUAUUAAAAAUUUAAUAUAUAAGACUAAAAUAAUAGAUAAUAAUUUAUUGAAACUUAAAUAAUAUGGCGGUAUUUUAGUUCAUUUAGAGGAAUCUGUCUAAUAAUUGAUAGUCCACGAAUAAAUUUACUUAAUUUAUAAUUUUGUAUAUCAUUGUUAAAAAAAUAUUUUUUAGUGAAAAUAAUAUUUAAAAUUUUAAAAUAAAAGUUAAUUCAGAUCAAGAUGCAGAGUAUAAUUAAGAAUAUGAUGGAUUACAAUAAAUAUAUUUAAAUGAAUAAUAUAUUGAAAAAUAAAUUUGAAGGUGGAUUUAAAUGUAAUUUUAAUUAGUUUAUUGAAAUGAUUAUAAAUUAAAAUAUGUACAUAUUGCCCGUCACUUUCAUUUUAAAAUUGAAAUAAGUCGUAACAAAGUAGAGGUACUGGAAAGUGUUUCUAGAAAGA
rnacentral:ncRNA from 1 species